ensembl:lncRNA
AGCAGUGGAAGGGCAGAGAUGAUGCGUUUACAGAAACAUCCCCAAGCCUGGAUGGUUUCCAGCGCAUUACUCGGCGUGAUGGAACGUAUGAAAUAGCUUUUGGAAAAUGUAUGUUGAAACACACAGCUCCAUAAGUCCCGUGUCACCGGCCCUAUGCUAUCCCACAGAUGGGAUCCCAGGGCUGAGUGGCAGAGUGAUGUGCAGCCCCGAUCCUGCCCGGUGCUGAGCACUGCAGAGUCUCCUGCUGCCUCUCCUGGGUGAAAUUCAGCCCCAAAAGCACUGUCUUUAGCAAAGCGCAAAUGCAAACCCACUGGGAUGCUUCUUCUGCAUUGCGUGGAUAGGUGUUGCUUGCUGUUCACGAGCAGGAAAACCUGCAGCUAAGCAGCUUGGCCCUAGGCCUGCUAGAACAGGGUGGGAAUAAUUGAGGCUGUUUCUAUAAAAACAGCAGAAGAGAUGCAGGUUAGAAAGGUGAAGCAGCAGAGGGGAUCCGAGCUGCUGAGCACACAGCGAGGCACCCAAAUCUCCUUCCCCUCCUGAUGCGCAGCACCGUGCUGAUGGACACGUUGCUCAGGGGAUGAGACACAUUAGGGCUUCCCUGUACACUUCAUGCCCAGAUCCCCUGGAUGGCAGCGAUGUUCUGAUCCAACCGUCCCCCGCAUCCCUCCAUAGCCCCAGAGCACGUGGGAUGGGGCUGCUAUGGGGUUUGGGACCCCCUGCUUGGCAGCCCGGCCUUUAUCCCAAAUCCUGGGGCAAACUUGGACCCGGGGCAGCUGCUCUUCCUUCCUGUUAUUUAAACUACAGCCUCACACUGAGAUUGUGCCGAUGAAGUCAAGGCGAUGCUUCUCCAAACAGAGAGAUAAAAAUCCCUUCUGAACUUGCAACAUCUUAAGUUAUCUGCGGCUGCUUCAGAGCUACAGUCAGCUCCAAAUGGAUGGAAUUAGAGUGCCUUUACAAGUUAUUCCUCUGUUUCUUCACUGCAGAAAUAAAUCCCUUUAUUCUGUUAGCUAAAAAUGUGCCUGAAAAGCCAGUCCUUGAUGCCAGCUCCGUGCAUGGUUAUUUCCCCAAGUAAAUAAACAAAAAAGACCAUAAGGAAAUACUUGUUUCGAUUUUAUACCUCAUCUCUAUUCACAGAACUCCUAUCGACAGUGAUAUCUUAUUUGGUUUUGAGGGUUUCUGAAGGUGUGUGCCCACACCACACAUCACAUGUGGUGGUGAAUGAUGGCCCCUUGGGGUACCAGAGCACGGGGUGCUGAACCAGGCUGUGUUUGGCUGCUGGCACCCCACAGCCAGAUUUGGGGUUUGAAUUCCCAGUCUGAGCUUUGCUGGUGGAAGGGUGGCUCAAUGCAGAGCCCCACCGGGCUGCUGGGAACGUGCUGGGGGUGGCUGCAGGGUGUUUAUGGGCAGCUGAAGGUCAGGGGCUGCGACAUGAAAGCUGUGAGGAAUUUUCCGUCAGGAACUUCUUUUGGUGCUUUCUUUCCUUUCUCAUCAUUAAACAUCCCGGCGGAAACGUUCACCCUGCAUCUUCCCUCGCUUUCUGCUUUGUCAUCCUUUUCUUGCCUCAUCAGUGGGACAGACGGGGAGGGAAAGAGCGGUGGGAAAAUCUCGAUGAGAAGAAAAUGAAAUGAACCAUUUCCCUCCAGCUGACUUGUCAGAUCCACAGCAGAGAUUAAUGAGAACUGGCAAUUCCCGAGCAGCCCAUGGCAGGACGUGUCCAACUUCCCAAGCAAUUUGGGUGUCAGAUUCCUCCCACAUUCCAGAGCAAAUCGCAGCCCAGGUGCCCAUGGAAGCAGCUCUCCUCCCACCCCUGCAAGCAGCGGGUCUGCCCAAGGGUUAACGUGUCCUCAACUUCUAUCAGCCAGAUUGCAACUUCAUUUUACAUUUCAUCUCCAUUCGCAGAGCUCCCAAUGAUGUCAAUAUCCUGUUCGGGUCUCUUUUUCUUUUCUUUCCCUUUUGAUGUUUGAUUUUCUCCUGCUGGCUGUGUGCAUGUACACAGAGGCUGAUCACAGCCGAUGACAUUUGCUUUAAUGAGAGAGGAGAGGGAGCGGGUUGUUUUGUCUUUCUCAGCACCCCCUGCCUUGUGGGACGAGGUGGCUGUCACAAGACUUCACGCAUUUCACCCAUGGAGCACACAGUUAAUUGCUGAGCAAUCCUGGGGGGGUCAGUGUUGAGGUGCUGGGAUGGGGGACGCGGCCCAGCCUGGAGUCAGCCACUGGUUUGUGCAGAAUGCCACGUCUCAGCUGUCUGCCUACAGCAGUGCUGUGGAGGCUGCAGUCACCUCCCAGCCAUGGGAUGCUCCCUGCACGUUCAGGCUGAGCAGAAGAACUGCCUGCUGCCACAGCUUUGCUUUGAUGGCUGCCCUUUGGGUGAGGACGAUGUGCUUCGUCCUUCUACAAACACCCCGUAAAGUCCAUCCUUGCCCCUUUUUCCCAUGGCACAGGCACAGCAAAACACCAUAAAAUUCUUUCACAGAGCUGAUAUUGUUGUUGGCACGAGCUCUAUCCAGGCAGAAAGAAUCGGCCAUAAAAAACUUCCUGAAUUUUGUCAGGUUUCUUGGUGCAAAUAUUGCCAGCGUCAGAGCUUGGAAUUGAGAAUUUAGCUCCAGAUUUCCUUUGGCAGUGAAUUCUUCAGCUUUGGAUGGGCUGACACAACGGGUGAACGAAGGCUCACACUGAGAACAUUCAGAUUCAGCUCCAAAGCAUCCACACGUUCAACCCAUCCCAUUGCAAGAGAUCCCAGCUCAGCCUGUGUUCCUCAAGGGCUGCUGCCUGGGGGGACAGCCGUGCAGCAAGACACGUUCUGGGCAUCCAUGCAACUCAUUGCUGGUUGACUGUGUGCAACAGUGGGUAUUUGUUUCAGCCCUGCUGGCAGGGCUGAGGCAACCCUCCCAGUGGUAGCUAAGCUAAUAAUAAUUUAACAAUGUGUAACUGCUCUGCUUAUGGUAAAUAAGAAUGCUGACCACAUCGGGCACGACGGUUUUCCGUGCAAUGUACCUCACCAGGAAAAAAUUGCAGAAGCCACAAAGAACAACUGAAGUCUGCAGUUUUCCUGGUCUUCAAAGUGUUUUUCCCAGUAGCAGGAAUGUUUCUGAUGUGGCAUUUCCAGGAGCUGCAGGACACGGGGCUUCAUUUGGGAUCCCCCACUGCAAGACACGCACGUGGACCAAAAGUUCUUCUCCCUUGGUCACUGAGAGAGAUCUUGAUCUUCCUACCCUGCACUGACAUGGAGGAAAACGUCACCCUUUAAAUAAGAAUAAUAAUUGCAAUGAGCAAUAUGAGAAAUUGCUAUGCAAAUCUGCCAGCCAUCAGGAAAGAAUUUUACCGGCUUCUUUCCAUAUUAUGGGGUUUAAUUAAUGCAAUCUAUGGACAAACAUGUAUUUUAUUUCCAGAAUGGGAGCUGUAAUUUCCUGGGGCUUGGAAACCCAGAUGUUUUUGAGUUUAGAAUAUAUAAGGAUUUGUUUUUAAAGAGUAUUUCAGUCAAUGUUGGAGGGGGAGGGGCUUUUAUUCAGUUCAAAGUUUGAUUUCUGAGCUUUCAGAUGACAGAGAUGCUCACUGGGAGCAGGGAGAGUGAUGGGCUGAAGUAUGCAGACAGCCAAGUGGCAAUGGCUAUGGGAAGAUUGUCUGCCUCUCAAAUGAGCUCCCCUCUUGGAAAUGGGACCAUCCCCAGCUGAAAGAAGUGUAGGAUGCCGAAAGCUUGAAAGCAAGACCCAGAUCCAAAAAUAAAGCCCUGCCUAAUGGCCUGGGCUGCCCUGCCCGUAGCAACACACUGGGGUUCUGUUGGUUUAGAAUGAUCCCGUUGUGAUGACACAGACAGAGCUCAGAGCAGCCACCCGCAGAAUGAGCACCUCUCAUGUGUUCCCCCGGGUCCUGUCACCCUGUGAGGGUUGGAGCAGUGACUCGCAUCUUAAAUGCAUCGGACCCAACGUAAUGGGCGAUGGAUGGAGAAGUCAUUAAGAAGCUGACAACAUCUCUAGCUCAGAAACUUACUCAGUUCCCGCGAUCUGAAUGCAAACCGCCCUGCUGUAUAUCUAACCCGGUUUCCCACCCCCUUUCUGCAAGCUUGUGUUUCUCAUUAAGUUUCCAAGUCCCACCGCCCCCACAGAACCACUGUGAAGUGCUAUUCCAGAUGCACAGUGCCAUCCUCACCCUGAUCCUGCUUACACACUCAGAGGAUGGAGUCCUUCUGAAGAAGGAGGCACUAAAGCUAACGGAAUCCAAAUCAUUUCAAAUCCAAAGUCUUCACUUUUCUUACCCUGUCACCUUUUCAAUGCAUCUGGUCACGGCAACAAUUGCAAAGGGUCAAGAAGGUCCUGCAGUGUUGCACUUAGAGCCCUUCUGGGGGUUCAUUCUGAGUCAAUCUUUACUCGGUUGGUGUCUCCCUUCCUUCUCCUUGCUUCGGUUCCCCAGAGCCCUUCCAAGCAGCCCUGUGGAAACCUGCUGCCCGUGGUCCAGCACACAGCCCUGCCCAGCAGCUCCCUGCCUCGUGGCACUGCAAUCUGCUGCCACAGGACAUAUACAUUUUGGCAGAAGCAAUUUGGUGCCCAAACAGUCCAAUACCUCUUUUCUCUGUAUUUCUUCAAAAUACACCCAAAUGUCGCUUCUUGUUUUUGGUAGAGUCUGAAGAGUUUCAGUUCCUCUUUUCCCAACAAAGCCAACACUGGCUAUCAAAUGUGAGGGCAACAGCUGUAGAGCCCUUCCAUCACACUGCGUCUGACAGUGAGCUCGCGUCGCUUUGAGCCCUUGGAGCCAAAUGCAUGGCUGAGUGGUGCAAAUGCUGAAAGCACUGGAGCUGAUUGUCAGAGCUGUGUUGGUGGUGGUUGGAAACUGCAGGCUCAGAGACAGCUUUUAGUGACAGGACUCUUAUGGAGCUUGAUUUCCAAAUCAAGCCAAGUGCCAGUGAUAAUUGCAGUGGAGUAUAUGCGUGCCCAAGGCCUAGACUAAGCCUUCAAAGUCAUGAGAUGGCUUGGAACGCCAAACUUAAUAUCGUUCAUAUGGGUCUCACUUGCUCUGCGACCAUUAGAAAUGAGUAUUUCCUGUUGUCACAAAAAAAGAGUUCUUCCAUAGCCACACACGUGGCUGCAGUCACUGAAUGUCCUGAGACUGCAGGUAAAAGUGAGGGCUGGCUGUGCCAGCUGUCUUACCACCAUCAGAAACAACGGGUCAGAUGUUGGAAAUGAUGUAAAUCCCUUCCUACCUCGGUCCUCUAAAUUAGGACUUAAAAACACAGAAGGCUGUCUAGACAUAUUUUAAUCAAGAGCUCAUUCUCCUUCUGCCUGCUAUUUAACCUGCAAGCACCGUGGCUGAAAUUUUCCAAACACAGAAUUGCAGGGAGGAGCUGCCACUGUCUCAUUAUCUUCCUAGUUAAAAAUACACUCCAUACCAUGCAGAGUGCAGUGCCAGGGGGAGGCAGCAGCUUCCAGAGACAACCAGCAGCCACAAGGGCUCUGCCCAAGGCACAAGCAGGCAGCUGUGGGGCUGCUUUUCCAUCUUUCUUUGGUAUUCCCUGAGCAAAUGCUGCAUCCUGGCCGGGAGAAUUCGAGACUUGGGCUUCCAGCUUUCGGUCAGGCUGAGAAGCACAGCCCCAUACAUAGCUGUUAAUUAACACCAUGUGAAGGAUGUAGGUGAUGUCUUACACUUGUGUGGCUACAGCCCAGGCACAGCCAAAGUGCUUGGUUUACCAGAUUCCUGGCUCUGUUGGUUCAGAGCACACAGAGAUGGUGUUUGGGCAAAGAAUCUGAUGGAUUUUAAAGUGUUCUGGGCACGCUUGCACUAAAACUCCCCCCACUUUGCUGCUCCCGAGCCUUUGUGAUGGAUUCAGUUGGGUUCAGGGAUGCGCUUUUGGUGGCUGUGUGAGUGCCCAAUGCCCUGGGAUUGUUUCCUGCUCCCUUGAAUCGUCAAAGUGAAACAUGACAGUAAACAGCUCUAUUACUGCUUCUAUUUCAAGCUGAUGUCAGCUUGCUUCUGCUUAUAUUCAGUGCUGGAGCCUCAGACCAUGAGCUAAUUUGGCUUCCUGGAGCAGAGGCAGAAGCCAGAUAGAAAGAGCAUUAAAAUGGAAAAAAAAGAAGAAGAAAAAAAAAAAGCAGAGCAAACAAGAUCUGCAUUCUCCAUAGCAGAGGGCUACGAGUGGCACCUGCCUGCUCCCUCCACCUUGUCCCAUAGCAACAGCACCCUGCACCCUCUAAUCCAGCGUGUGUCUGGCACGGGGCUGGGGCAGCUGCUGAGGGCUGACCACAGCCAAGAGAGUUUUCGUGUGUUCUCGGUCCCCUCUGAAGGAUGCAGUGCUCAGGAAUGAGAAUAUCACAGCCUCCGUGAGCUGCUGACUCUCCUCCAUCUGGAGGAACAUUGCAUUCAAGUGAGGUAGGAUGCGUUUAAAGGCAACGUGAGCGCAAGCACCCAAACAUACAGCCAAUUUUCCAAACAAAAAGUAAAGCCUCAAAGACACAUAGGUCUGUUUGGAUGGGUUGAUGUAUGGAUCAUCUGGCUUCUGGCUUCACUGCAGGCCAUCUGAACAUGGAAACUCCCAACAUUCGGAGCAAACUUGAUGCCUAAUUCCCAUUGAGUCAUGCUGUGGGACAACUAUGUUAAGAACCAGGGCUGAGAAAAGAUAACCAGGCAUGACAAAGGCAAUGGCCAUGCCAAGAGGAGCUCCUGGUGGUGGAGCUGUGCUGAGCCCCACCAGCCCCACUUCUCUCUCCGUGGGCUCUAGUGAACAGACUGCAAGAAGCAGUCCAGAUCCUCCCAUCUCCCCAGAUAAAUUCAGCCUCAGCCUCCUGCCCAGGAGGGUUUCAUUAACCAACAGCCAAGAUCUUUGCAAGUCCUCGUUAGUUCUGCAAAUCAGCGCACCGUCAGUUCCCAGUGCUGGGAAAACAUCAGCUCUGAACGUGGCUCUUUGCUGUGAGAUGUUGGACAGCUGAUGGCCAUUCACAACUCGCCGUGUUGCAACACGAUCCCUUCUUUUCUUUUCCAGGAUGAUUUAAGAAAAAGAGAAGGAAAAGGAAGGGAGAAAGUCUUUCAGUAAAGACAUUUCAACGACUCCCUUACUGGCUAUAUAAACAGGAACAAAAUCAAACAGCAAUUAGCCGUAAUUAUGCUCUAGCCUAAAAAAUCCCACACAUAUGAAACGAUUACCACAGGAAUUGCUGAAGGCUUCUGUGCACGUUUGGCUGGCAUAAUUAUACCAAGCGUGGCCUUUUGGAGAGAGCAAAUUCCUUCCCCUCGUGGGUGCUGGCUUUUCCUCCUCCCUCCGAACCUGCCAUUUUUUUCUGCAGUGUCUGGACCUCAGCGAGCAGAGUGGAAAUGGUAGCAAGGAAAUAAGUCAUUUGCAGUCCCUGUGUGUUCUGGUCCCGUAACAAUGGGUUGUGCACCCUGCAUUGAUGUCAGGCACCUGGGGACAAGUAUUUGGUGUAUUCCACCAGGAAGGUGGAGCCAGGGCUGAGAAGUGCUUCUUGCCAAGACAACAGCAAUGCUGGGAGCAGGGACAGCGUGGAUGACAAGUCCAAUGGAAACAUGUUCUCAAGUCAGCUCAGAGCCCUUCUCCCCUUAGGGGUGAAUCAGACUGAGUCUGCUUCUUCCUCCAAAAGCAGCAGAAAAGCCUGCAGGCUUAUUUCUAUUUGGACCAGCACCACUUUUUAAUCAUGACUUAUGGAGGAAACAUAUGGAAUGUAUUGAAAAAAAAUAUUGCAGUCUUCUCUGCAGCUUCUCUCUCCCUCUCUUUGGAGCAGAAAUAUGAAACAUCUGCGAUCCUUCAGCUCAGGCUGGGGUAAGCUCUCACCCCUUGACCCACUGAGUCCCUCCGGCAGCGAACACACAGGGACGUGGCGCGUGUUCUGCUCAGAGCAGCCCCAGAUGCAUCACACUGGACAGAGGAAGCAUAACCUUCUUCCUCAAGACCUGAGAGCUGGAGCUGGAGGCAGAAACCGUAGCCACAUCCAUACCUUCCUUUCCGCUCAGCCUGAGUUGUGCCAACCCUAGGAGCAUUGCAACAACUCUAAGAAAUUAAAUGGGACUUCAGUACUGCACACGAUUUUGCUCUACCCAGAAUGGGGCCAAAUGCAGUUUCAGGCUCCCAAGUGUGCCUUCAGAGAUGGGGCACCAGCGGAUGCUCCAUGCAGAGUACAGUCUGAGGGCAAUACAUGUUUCUGCAGCUGCACCCAUAUCCUUGUGCUUUGGAAAAGGACACAGAGAGCUGUUUCCCUGCCACAGUGCCUCCGGAGAGCCAAGGGACUCAGUGCUGCCUCAGCUCCCAGCAACUCAUGGGGCUGUCCCAGCUGGAACCAGCAACACUGGCACAGCAGCCCUGCUCUUCAUUGCUCUUCAUGAUGUCCGUGUGCCAGCUUUUGUCAGCAAAACCUGCUCGGCUUUGAAGAGAGCGGUGGAGAUGAAGCCCACACUCCUCAGCAGCUGCCAUAGGACAGAAACCUGCUGCCCACAGACUGGGACAGCAAACAUCCUGCCUUUGUCUCUCACUGAGAUGCAGAGCUCAGCAGUAUCCCCCUUUUAACCCAGCAGAUUUAUGACUUCAGCAUCAAAUCUCCCAUUUCUUGAACUCACCCAACAGAUCUUAUGUCAACUUAACAUCCUUUCUGAAGUGCCUGCAGUGUUUAUUCAGCCCGGCCGCUGGUUUAUUCGAGUUAAAUAUGUCUCGAUUUGAAGCAAGUUCAUUGCAGGUUCCUAUUUCCCCACCGUGGAGCAUUAGGAUAAAAAACCCACUUGACAGCUGAGUAAAUGGCAUCAAUAUGGGCUCUGGUUGGUCCAUGAAGGAGCUGAAAGAUACAGAGCAGAAAGCUCUGAGCUAAAGAUGCUCCAUUCUGUGUUCAUUGGCGCUGUCCUGGCAUGGACCUCUGCUGCCCUAUGGCUCGACCCAAGGGUGAGCUCAACAGAAUAACACAUUUUAAUUGACACAGGGAUUGCUGCUCAGCAUGAGGCAUGAGACCCUGGGGAUAUUUCCAAUGGAAAACAUAUCUGCAUUCCCUCCUGAAAGGGGGAUGGGUAAAAUUCUAAGGCUUAAAGAAUGGGCAUUCAUGGGAUCCAGAAGGUUCCUUUGUGAUGUGAUUGAUUCUCCUGCACAGACAUUUCUUGGCUUUUAAGUUAAGGAGGAAGAAGACACCAAACUCAGUGUUUCCAAGGAGUUUGGGAAAGGCUUGGGUUUCCUUCUUGUGAGCUUACCUGGGGCCACUUGCAUCAAGGCUUGAGGUGUGCUUUAAGCCAACCCAACUCAGUGAGAGUCCUUUGAAAGCCUCUCCUACACCACAAGUAGGCGUUGGGCUCAGCUUGGGCUGGGAAUAUUCAUGGGGAGGAUUUAUUGAAGGAAUGUUCUGUGGGUGAAGCAGACUUCCAGAGCGUGUUGAUAGAAAGUGAUUACCAACCUCAUAAAUAAGAGCAUUUGCACUGGCAAGAGUGAAUUAAGUGCAGAGUGUAUUAGAAGUGUGGGUCAUCUGAAGCCAAAACCCGAGGAGCAGAGCCUUCUAGCUCCAAGAAAUGCUCACAUGCUCUCCAUCCUCCCAGCUGCUUGCAACACGCGCUGAUGUGGCAAAGGGAGAAGAGCCUGUGCAGCCUAGGGGAGCUUUAAGCAUAUCAGCAGUUUUGUAUGCAGGAUAAAGCUGUGUCAGUACCGGAGGAGUGGGAGAAGCAGGGGAAGUCCCAGCUCAGCGCACAGAGGGGGACAGCCCUAGGGAUGGGGGGCUGCUCCCACUGCAGGUCUGCUCCUCGGCCUUCCCUUCACAUCAGCUGUGCCAAACACUGAGUGGAACCAUCUGAUAAAAGCUGGACGUGUAUCAAAGAUGUGCUGCGAGCGCCGUAACUCAGCCCUCAUCUGCAGUCCAGAAUUGCCAUCUGCUCAACAUGUCCUGCCCUGCUUCCUCACUGCAUGGAGGGCUCCGCGCAAAGCAUCCCCAGCGCCAGUUAUAAAACGAGCCCAGAAACCCGAGCCUCACCCCACUGCGUGUCUCCAGCCUUUUAUUGUUGCAGGGAGAAGAGAUGUGAGCCCAGGAGGAGCCGCACAGCCCCUGGAAAUCUCAGAAUACGGUCAGGGCCUUGGAGAGACUGAUUUAUGGGAUGGGACUGGAGCCUGGGGGUAUGGCUUGGUUUGGAGAGCCUCAGGGCAGAAAGCAACGUGAAUCCCAGCCCUCAGGGGACCUCUGGUGGGUUAUCAGAAGGGCAGAAAUACAUUCUUCCCAGACUGGUGGCAAUGACCAUUUCCCAAACAGCAGGAUGUGAAUGGUGCCUGGAAUCCAAGGAUGCUGCUGGUGGCAAAGGCACACCUACUGAAUUUAAAGAAGAGGAAUGGCUACAGCUGAGAGCACCACGUUUCUGAGCUCCCUGGUUUGGGUCAGGUCCCUAAAUAGGCAAGGUAGGUUCACAGGCCAACAAACACUGCCCAUCAGGACCUGCUCAUUACCCAGCUGUGCUUCAUCUGCCCAGCAGAGGCUGAGUGUUAGCACCUGGGAGGGGUGAGCACAGCUUCACUGACCAUCUGCAGCCCAGGACAAAAGGGCAAUGCAACCACACCGAGUGCUUUCUCCUAUACUUAUUAUCAGAUCAGUCAAAACUACAUCAUCCGCUCAUGCCUUUUUCUUAAGAAAAAACACCAAUAUUUUUGCUGAAGAACUGAAAACAAUGCUAACAUCAGCUCAGUCCUCUUACAACCAAGGGCAAAUAAGAUGCUGCAGGAAAGAAAAUAUAUAGCAGUGAUGCAGCUGAAACAUUUCUGGCUAUGACGGGAUCGUGCAGUGGUCAUGUUACCUACAACGGUUCCAUGUGCUCCUCUAUUAACCAGAGAACAAGGGUGGCUGGCAGCCAGCCAUGCCUACAAGGACUGUGUGCCUUGGUGUCCCUGGUGCUGUCCCUUAGGCACGAGGAUAAGGAAACUGCACUAAGUUGGAAGCUCUUAGACAAGAGAUGUGUCUGAGCAGACUGCCCCUUGGUUGGGUUAGAUGAUGCUGGUGGUCUUUUCCAACCUUAAGGAUACUGUGAACACAAGUAAUUGUUCUUCCUGCAUCUGCUUCAGGACAUGACACUGCUUCAGGACAUGACACUGAUGCCAGUCUUUCCUCUGCGCUGAGGAGUCGGUUGCAGAUUUUAAGUAAAUUUGUGGUCUUUCUUCAUUCAUUCUCUAUGCUGACAUUUAGUCAUGAGAAAGCAAUUUCUUCAUGGAAUGCCCUGAGCUGCAGCGUGGCUCUGUCUGGAGGAUGUGGUGCAGGGAUGGCUGUGGUGAUUCACAGUGCUGAGACCCCCAUGGAAGACCGAGGAGCCCAGUGCAGGUGUUGGCACAUGGCAGCAGGGCACAUCAUCCUCAGCACUGAGAAAACAGCCACUUGGGUCUCCUCCUCCUCCUCCCUGCCUGAGCUCCCACAUGGACUCAUGGGCCUUCACUACACUGCUUCCAUGGCUGGAGCAAUGGUGGUCUGAAGGGUGGUUUUGUAGAAGUGGGAGGAAAAAGCAGAGAAUUCAGUGAGCUGAAGCUUUGGUUCUGCUGCAGGCGCUCUGCUGUCUCUUUCCUUCGAAGCAGAGCUCUCUGGAGACUUGAAAUAUCCAUAGUAUUGAUGCCCCUCUUUUUUAAUUCUG